rnacentral:tRNA from 5 species
GGGGCUGUAGCUCAGCUGGGAGAGCGCUUGAAUGGCAUUCAAGAGGUCAGGGGUUCGAAUCCCCUCAGCUCCA